UACGUAGGGUGCAAGCGUUGUUCGGAAUUAUUGGGCGUAAAGAGCUCGUAGGCGGUGUGUCGCGUCGGCCGUGAAAACCUGCAGCUUAACUGUGGGCGUGCGGUCGAUACGGGCAUCACUGGAGUUCGGCAGGGGAGACUGGAAUUCCUGGUGUAGCGGUGAAAUGCGCAGAUAUCAGGAGGAACACCGGUGGCGAAGGCGGGUCUCUGGGCCGAUACUGACGCUGAGGAGCGAAAGCGUGGGGAGCGAACAGG
rnacentral:rRNA from 1 species